rnacentral:snRNA from 1 species
GGAUCUGAGUUACCUGGCUGUGACAUCUGUCACCUCCCUCAUCAGGGGUUGAUUUGACUGGCUAGCAGGAGUCCAACACUUCCCUCCAUGUUCUCUUCUUCUGAAGCUGUGUGCUUGGCAGAAGAGGACAACUUCCCCCAACAGAGGUCUGUUCUUCAGUCAAGGGUGUAUGAAUAGAGAUCGUCAAGGGGGCUUCAACCUCUGUGCUGCUUAGUUUUUGCUGACUUGACACAAAUCUAGACACACCUGGGGAGAGGGAAUCUC